UAGAGUUUGAUCCUGGCUCAGGAUGAACGCUAGCAACGUGGAUAAGGCAUGCAAGUCAAGCGGUCCACCUUCGGGUGGGCAGCGGCAAACGGGUUAGUAACACGUGGAUAACGUGCCCCGAAGACGGGUAUAACCUAUCGAAAGAUAGGACAAUUCCCGAUAGUCCGGACAUACUUCGGUAUUGUCCGGUAAACGGAAGCUUUGCAACCGCUUUGGGAUCGGUCCGCGGCCUAUCAGCUUGUAGGUGAGGUAAUGGCCCACCUAGGCUAUGACGGGUAGGGGGCGUGAGAGCGCGACCCCCAACAGAGGUACUGAGACACGGACCUCACUCCUACGGGAGGCAGCAGUCGAGAAUCUUCGGCAAUGGGCGAAAGCCUGACCGAGUGACGUUGCGUGGUCGAAGAAGCCCUACGGGGUGUAAAGACCUUUUGCGUGAGAAGAAGUCGUCUUUGACGAUUGACGUUAUCACGCGAAUAAGGAGGUGCUAAUCACGUGCCAGCAGCAGCGGUAAUACGUGAUCUCCAAGCGUUAUCCGGAUUCAUUGGGCGUAGAGCAUCCGUAGGCGGCCAAGUAAGUUUUUGGUUAAAGUUUAAGGGCUUAACCCUUAAAAUGCCAAGAAAACUGUUUGGCUAGAGGGCGCUAGAGGCUGACGGAACCGACGGUGGAGCGGUGAAAUGCGUUGAUAUCGUCGGGAACACCAAAAGCGAAGGCAGUCAGCUGGGGCGACCCUGACGCUGAGGGAUGAAAGCGUGGGGAUCAAAGACGAUUAGAUACCGUCGUAGUCCACGCCGUAAACGAUGGACACUAGCUAUUGGCAGUGUCGACCCUGUCAGUGGCGAAGCUAACGCGUUAAGUGUCCCGCCUGGGAACUACGGCUGCAAGG
rnacentral:rRNA from 1 species